AAACAUAAUAAGGCAUUAUUAUUCUCAUUCCACAGUUGAACUUCUUCAAAUUCAACUGUAUAAUAAAGAAGUUGAAUGCCUUGCUCAAGUUCACACAACCAGCAAGUACAAGAGUAUCUGGUUUAUCUGGCUCUAGAAUCACUUUCCUUUGCUUUCUCAACAGAUGGCUGGAUGCAUGACCUUGUCAUAUACGUAAAACAUCCACAGACUAACUGGAAAAGGACUUCACCUCAGCCAAAGGCCUUCAAGAGGAUCAAUAUUUCCAGGAUGUUGGUAUUAGCAUCCAUUGUUCGCUGGCUAGAUCUUUUCCAACAGAGCAUGUGACUCUCAUCAUUACAGCAGAGGAAUGCAUUUAUCAAAGUUAAGGAAGUCGUUUGCCAUUCGGAUGGCCCAAGAAGCAUAAAUAUUUAUCAUUGAGCCUUGUGAGAACUCUCUAUUAUAAAAAGAUUGGCUAAUUUCUUAAAACUACUCCUUCAAUAAGGACCCAGGUUAUGUGCCAUGGUAUCUGUAGCUUUCUGGCUGGGUCAGGGUGACCCGCACACAACCCUGGCAGGACGCCCUUGGACACAGUAUUUGCAUCCCUUUGGUGUGCCAAGGUAUCAAGCAUUCACAGUUCACAUUGAAACCACUAAACGAAGAGCUGUGCAAACAGGUCAUCAGUUUCUCCAGAGGGGAAUAAUCUUACAACUGUUACGAAGGGUCAAAGGUAACUUUCAUUUUGAGAUGCUAAUUACUCCAAGAAUUUGAUGCAGGAGGCAGCUGGUUAAAAUGAAUGAGUGCUGAAGCGUUGAAGGGGAAAAUCAAAUAGAUGGUUAUAAUAAAAGUGCAAUAUGCAACCUAAUAAGUAUGCAGAGAAUAAGGGACAAUAUUGUUAAUAAACAUCUAUUAGUCAAGAUGAUCUUUGUAGAGCUGGGCUCUUUAAUAUUAUAACUGCUAAUCACAUGCAAUUAAAUUUAAAUUUAAGGUGGUUGAGAUUAGAAAUUCAGGUCCUCAGCCACAGAGGCCACAUACAACAUGUUCAAUAGCCACAUGUGGCCAUUGGCUACCAUAUUGGAGAGCCCAGAUAUAGAACAGUUUCAUUACUGCAGAAAUUUCUAUAGGACAGCAAUGACCUGGAGUGUUUUGCUAUUGGAGGGGUUUUGGACUUAGUGCUUUUAUAUAGGAAACAUGAUUUUUUUAAAGAAGCCAUCCCAUGGAAUGCUUCUCUCAUUCCAGUGCUGUAGUAAGGGUUGCCCUGAAAUUUGGACCUAGAAAAUUCACUUAUCAUAAACGAAAAAACUGUUACUACUAUCAAUAAUAUUUUUGUCCUGGUGAAUAUUUACAUUGUACCACACACUGUGCUAGUUGCUUUAUACAUAUUGUGUCAUUUAAUUCUUACCUUAGAGACUAAGAUCUAUCUGUGAAUUACUUUGAGAUAAAUCAGGUUAAGAGAAAAAUAAAAACUGACUUUAGACCACAAUUAAGUAAAUAUAUUUAAACCUAAAGCAAU
rnacentral:lncRNA from 1 species